rnacentral:lncRNA from 1 species
CGUGGUACAUGGUAGGCCAGUAAUAGCCUUUACGGAGCAGCUUGUGGGAUAAAGAUCUGACCCCCAGGUGACUUCCACAGACUCCCUCAUGUACCUCUCUCAAGGCGAAGUCAGCUUCAGAAGGCCGAAGACAUUUCAGGAGGGGCAAGGAGUAUGACCUCUUGUAUAGCUUGCCUUCGUAAAGGAUAUAUCGGGAGGCCUGGUUCUUAAGCUUACGAGCUUCUUUUGCAUC